rnacentral:rRNA from 1 species
GACGAACGCUGGCGGCGUGCUUAACACAUGCAAGUCGAACGGAAAGGCCCUGCUCUUGUGGGGUGCUCGAGUGGCGAACGGGUGUGUAUCACGUGAGUAACCUGCCCUUGACUUUGGGAUAACUCCAGGAAACAGGGGCUAAUACAGGAUAGGAGCUCCUGCUGCACGGUGGGGGUUGGAAAGUUUCGGCGGUUUGGGACUGACUCGCGGUUCAUCGUUUUUUGGGGGGGGUGGUGAUUUACCAAGGCGUUGAGGGGUGGCGGGCCUGAGAGGGUGACCGGCCACAUUGGGACUGAGAUACGGCCAAGACUCCUACGGGAGGCAGCAGUGGAGGAUAUUGCACAAUGGGCGGAAGCCGGAUGCAGCAACGCCGCGUGCGGGAUGACGGCCUUCGGGUUGUAAACCGCUUUCGCCUGUGACGAAGCGUGAGUGACGGUAAUGGGUAAAGAAGCACCGGCUAACUACGUG